ACGGAGAAAAACAAAAAAACUAUAGUGAUUAGAUAAAUAAGGAAAAGGAC
rnacentral:misc_RNA from 1 species